rnacentral:rRNA from 1 species
UGGAAGUAAAAGUCGUAACAAGGUCUCCGUUGGUGAACCAGCGGAGGGAUCAUUACCGAGUUUACAACUCCCAAACCCCUGUGAACAUACCUAUACGUUGCCUCGGCGGAUCAGCCCGCGCCCCGUAAAACGGGACGGCCCGCCCGAGGACCCUAAACUCUGUUUUUAGUGGAACUUCUGAGUAAAACAAACAAAUAAAUCAAAACUUUCAACAACGGAUCUCUUGGUUCUGGCAUCGAUGAAGAACGCAGCAAAAUGCGAUAAGUAAUGUGAAUUGCAGAAUUCAGUGAAUCAUCGAAUCUUUGAACGCACAUUGCGCCCGCCAGUAUUCUGGCGGGCAUGCCUGUUCGAGCGUCAUUUCAACCCUCAAGCUCAGCUUGGUGUUGGGACUCGCGGUAACCCGCGUUCCCCAAAUCGAUUGGCGGUCACGUCGAGCUUCCAUAGCGUAGUAAUCAUACACCUCGUUACUGGUAAUCGUCGCGGCCACGCCGUAAAACCCCAACUUCUGAAUGUUGACCUCGGAUCAGGUAGGAAUACCCGCUGAACUUAAGCAUAUCAAUAAGCGGAGGAA